rnacentral:lncRNA from 1 species
UACCGGUUAGUACCCUGGAGAUGGGAAAGUAGUUAGUCAUACUUGACCAAAGCUGUGUCAGGAGGAUCUUGCGGGGCGCGUGGAGAUCACCAGGGUGGUGUAGUUUUGUAGCAUGAUCAGAUUAGGUGGUUGUAUAAGGACUAGAUGUCUUUCUCUUGGGAUUGUAUUUAUUUCAUUUUGGAAGAUUGUAUCUAAGCUUAAACUGUCUGAUGACUUUUUCUUUUAAUGGGUCCAUGUUCCACAUUUUGAUGUGAUGUGGGGAAAGUAGAGAUUCUUGGGGCAGUGCUUUUAUGCAGGUGUCUGCCGAGAAUACUCCAAGGGUAUGAGCUAUGUCUGAUGGGUCUCAUAGCCCC